rnacentral:rRNA from 1 species
UGGGGAAUAUUGCACAAUGGAGGGAACUCUGAUGCAGCGACGCCGCGUGAACGAAGAAGGCUUUCGAGUCGUAAAGUUCUUUUAUAUGGGAAGAUAAUGACGGUACCAUAAGAAAAAGCCCCGGCUAACUACGUGCCAGCAGCCGCGGUAAUACGUAGGGGGCUAGCGUUGUCCGGAAUCACUGGGCGUAAAGGGUUCGCAGGCGGAAAUGCAAGUCAGGUGUAAAAGGCAGUAGCUUAACUACUGUAAGCAUUUGAAACUGCAUAUCUUGAGAAGAGUAGAGGUAGGUGGAAUUUUUAGUGUAGCGGUGAAAUGCGUAGAUAUUAAAAAGAAUACCGGUGGCGAAGGCGACUUACUGGGCUCAUUCUGACGCUGAGGAACGAAAGCGUGGGUAGCAAACAGG